UACGGAGGGUGCGAGCGUUGUCCGGAAUCACUGGGCGUAAAGGGCGCGUAGGUGGCGCGACAAGUCAACGGUGAAAGCCUGGGGCUCAACCCCGGGUCGGCCGUCGAUACUGUUGGGCUCGAGCACUGUAGAGGCAGGUGGAAUUCCGGGAGUAGCGGUGGAAUGCGUAGAGAUCCGGAAGAACACCGGUGGCGAAGGCGGCCUGCUGGGCAGUAGCUGACACUGAGGCGCGACAGCGUGGGGAGCAAACAGG
rnacentral:rRNA from 1 species